AUAAUAAAUAGAUAAAUGAAUACAGUUUGUGCGAGCAUACAUACAUUCGAGGCAGAUAAUUAUAAAGUUAAUGAAGGCGGCUUCUAAAUGCCAAGAAAUUGAUGGUGCUGAAUUAUCAGAUACUUUUCUAAUUACGAAAUAGAUUUAUUUUAUUAUUUCUCGAAAAUUACAAUUACUGUAAUGACAUUACCAAUUAUUGGAUUACCAAUAAUUGCUGAAGCGACAAAUGAUUUUAGGCAAUGCCAGAAAAUUAAUUCCUCACAUUGUUGUUUUAGAGCCGAGCAAAUCAAUCAUCUUUCAGAAAAUAUCCGGACAAGGGGAACACUGGUACGUCACAGAAACAAACAUUUGUUGCAAAUAGUCCCGAAAGCAACAAAACAUGGUUGUAACUGAUUUAUUGACUACGUAUUGAAUAAAAUAUUACAUAACAGGGUUUUUUAUUGACCCGAUAUAUUUGGUAAAUGCAAUCAUUAAGAGUCAAAUAUCAGAGAAAUUCCUCAUAGUUUGUGUGCUCAUACCGCUAGGUGGACAGCUGAAUUUAUCUCCAUAACCAAUCAUUGCAGUUUCCAUUCUAAGGGGGUAUGUUCUGUGAUUCUGAACAUACAGUAUUUUACAGUUAAAAUUAUUCUGUCAGUUUUCAAUCUUUCAGUUUAUCAAUAUUUUUAAUUUGCCAUCAGUAGCAUUUUCAUACUCGCUCGGGGUCAUCGCUAGUACUAACACGUGUGUUGUAGUGAUCCUGAACGAAGAAAAUUUUUGUUCGAAUCUAAAUUAAACAUUAUUGCAGACCAAACUAUUCCUUUCAAAACAUUAAAUAAACCUUCGAAAGAAGGCAAUGCAUGGUGGGACGCAGAGUGCUCAGCUUUAGUGGAAAAUAGAAAAGCCGCUAUUCGUAACUUCUCGGACAACCCCAAUAUGGAAAUUUACUUGGAAACAAAAAGAAUGAUUGCCCUAACUAAAAGGGAACUUAACAAUAAGAAACGCCAAAAAUUUAUAUUAUUUUGUUAGACUCUAAACAGAGAUUCCAAUACUUGUUAUGUCUGGAAUAAAAUCAAAAAGUUUGCAAACAACAAAAAAAAUACUAAAAAGAAGAACGUACAAAAUUAAAUCAAAAUGACAAAUUUA